GACGAACGCUGGCGGCGCGCCUAACACAUGCAAGUCGAACGGAGCUGAGAGAAGCUUGCUUUUCUUAGCUUAGUGGCGAACGGGUGGGUAACGCGUGAGUAACCUGCCCUGGAGUGGGGGACAACAGUUGGAAACGACUGCUAAUACCGCAUAAGCCCACGAUCCGGCAUCGGAUUGAGGGAAAAGGAUUUAUUCGCUUCAGGAUGGACUCGCGUCCAAUUAGCUAGUUGGUGAGGUAACGGCCCACCAAGGCGACGAUUGGUAGCCGGACUGAGAGGUUGAACGGCCACAUUGGGACUGAGACACGGCCCAGACUCCUACGGGAGGCAGCAGUGGGGGAUAUUGCACAAUGGGGGAAACCCUGAUGCAGCGACGCCGCGUGGAGGAAGAAGGUUUUCGGAUUGUAAACUCCUGUCGUGAGGGACGAUAAUGACGGUACCUAACAAGAAAGCACCGGCUAACUACGUG
rnacentral:rRNA from 1 species